GUUUACAGGCAUGAAACAUGUAUGUGUUCCACAUAUUUUUAAUAAUCACAGCUGUGUUUAUCAUUCAUACAUCAACGGGGAUGAAUGGGGUAUGUGUAAACGUGUCAAACAGCCCCUUGGAAUGCUGUCCAAACUAUCGAGUCGUUGGGAACUCUUGUGAAGCGAUGAAUAGUGUUGAGGCAUCACAGAAUCCAGGAAUAUGUUCGAAUUUGUCAAAUAGAGAACCUUUAGAGUGCUGUCCAAAUUAUCGAAUUGUCGGGACUUCUUGUGAAGAGUGUUGGCCCGGGACACGAGGGGUACACUGUGCAGAAGAUUGUGCUCCUGGGUUUUAUGGAAGACUCUGUAGAGAGGAGUGUGCGUGUGAGCCAUGUGAUAAAGUCAAAGGAUGUCUAGAAAUUACUCAAGAUUGGUUGUAUUUGCAGAUUCGACCAAACUACAAGGACUACUUAUGUGAUCCAACACGCCAAUCAUACCGAUGGAACCCUUUUAUAGAAAACAAGAUAUCUUUCUACGCAAUUAUGAAGGAAUUUCAAUGCCGUUUGUUUUAAGGAUAUCGUUACCAAAUGUCAUAAAAGCAGUGCUAGCUAAACGAAAUACCUGUUUUCUUAUGAGUCGUGACAGCAAAGUCAGUGACAAUAUAAUAAUAUUGCAAUCGAAAAUGAGGAC
rnacentral:sRNA from 1 species